rnacentral:rRNA from 1 species
GGAGAGGGCUAGCGUUAUUCGGAAUUAUUGGGCGUAAAGGGCGCGUAGGCGGAUUAGUAAGUUAAAGGUGAAAUCCCAAGGCUCAACCUUGGAAUUGCUUUUAAAACUGCUAAUCUAGAGAUUGAAAGAGGAUAGAGGAAUUCCUAGUGUAGAGGUGAAAUUCGUAAAUAUUAGGAGGAACACCAGUGGCGAAGGCGUCUAUCUGGUUCAAAUCUGACGCUGAGGCGCGAAGGCGUGGGGAGCAAACAGGAUUAGAUACCCUGGUAGUCCACGCUGUAAACGAUGAAUGUUAAAUAUGGGGAGUUUACUUUCUGUAUUACAGCUAACGCGUUAAACAUUCCGCCUGGGGACUACGGUCGCAAGAUUAAAACUCAAAGGAAUUGACGGGGACCCGCACAAGCGGUGGAGCAUGUAGUUUAAUUCGAUGCAACGCGAAAAACCUUACCACUCCUUGACAUGGAAAUUAUACCUAUUCGAAGGGAUAGGGUCGGUUCGGCCGGGUUUCACACAGGUGU